rnacentral:lncRNA from 1 species
UCCAUUGGCAGCAAAGCUAUUCAUAUCUUUAGAUUUUCUAUCUACCUAUCCUCUAUCUAUCAUCUAUUAUCUAUCAUCUGUUAUCUAUCUACCUAUCAUCUAUCAUCUAUCUAUCUAUCUAUCUACUGUCUAUCCUCUAUCUAUCUGUCUGUCUGUCUAUCUAUCUAUCUAGCAUCUAUUAUCUAUCCUCUACCUAUCAUCUAUCUGUCUAUCUAUCUAUCUGUCUAUCUAUCUAUCUACUGUCUAUCCUCUAUCUGUCUAUCUAUCUAUCUGUCUAUCUAUCUAUCUGUCUGUCUGUCUGUCUAUCUUCUGUCUGUCUGUCUGUCUAUCUAUCUAGCAUCUAUUAUCUAUCCUCUAUCUAUCAUCUAUCAUCUAUCCUCUAUCUAUCAUCUAUUAUCUAUCAUCUGUUAUCUAUCUACCUAUCAUCUAUCAUCUAUCUAUCCUCUAUCUAUCAUCUAUUAUCUAUUAUCUGUUAUCUAUCAUCCAUCUAUCUAUCAUCUUCUGUCUAUCCUCUGUCUAUCCUCUAUCUGUCUAUCUAUCUAUCUAUCUAUCUAUCUGUCUAUCUAUCUAUCUAGCAUCUAUUAUCUAUCCUCUAUCAUCUAUCCUCUAUCAUUUAUCUAUCUAUCUAUCUAUCUAUCUAUCUAUCUACUGUCUAUCCUCUGUCUAUCCUCUAUCUAUCUAUCUAUCUGUCUGUCUGUCUGUCUAUCUAUCCUCUAUCUAUCAUCUAUCAUCUAUCUAUCCUCUAUCAUCUAUUAUCUAUCAUCUGUUAUCUAUCAUCCAUCUAUCUAUCAUCUUCUGUCUAUCCUCUAUCCUCUGUCUAUCUGUCUAUCUAUCUGUCUGUCUGUCUGUCUAUCUAUCUAUCUAGCAUCUAUUAUCUAUCCUCUAUCAUUUAUCUAUCUAUCUAUCUAUCUAUCUAUCUAUCUACUGUCUAUCCUCUGUCUAUCCUCUAUCUAUCUAUCUGUCUGUCUGUCUGUCUAUCUAUCCUCUAUCUAUCAUCUAUCAUCUAUCUAUCCUCUAUCUAUCAUCUAUUAUCUAUCAUCUGUUAUCUAUCAUCCAUCUAUCUAUCUAUCAUCUUCUGUCUAUCCUCUAUCCUCUAUCUGUCUAUCUGUCUAUCUAUCUGUCUGUCUGUCUGUCUAUCUAUCUAUCUAG